rnacentral:lncRNA from 1 species
AUUGUGACAAUUCCAUUUGAAUCUUUGAGUGGUUGAUCUCUGUUUGCAAUCCAUAUAUUGUUGGUCUUAUUGAUGUACCAAAUUCCUAGGUAACGGUUGGUUGAAUUUAAUGGGCUGAAAAAUCCUAGCUUGAAAUUUGUGUUGUUUGAGGUUAUUGUUUCGUUGUCUUUGAGUGAUUUAGAUGAUGUAAUGGUGUCGUUGGUAGAACUAUAACAUGAAUAAAAGGUGCUAAAUAUGAUGAACGUAAUUAUGAAGAAGUGGUUUGUGUUGUGAAUUAGAAAAGCCAUAAAUGGAUAACAAAUUGUUAGGUGUUUUUUUGAGGAAUACUAGAAUUUAGUUUGGUUUAAUGGGG